ACCCCCUGUAGCGCAAUGGAUAGCGCGUUGGAUUUAUAAUCCGAAAGUCGUGGGUUCGAUCCCACCUGGGGUG